UUUGGUGGAUGAGUGGCGAACGGGUGAGUAACACGUGGGUGAUCUGCCCUACACUUUGGGAUAAGCCUGGGAAACUGGGUCUAAUACCGAAUAUUCACACCACCGUAGGGGUGGUGUGGAAAGCUUUAUGCGGUGUGGGAUGAGCCUGCGGCCUAUCAGCUUGUUGGUGGGGUAAUGGCCUACCAAGGCGUCGACGGGUAGCCGGCCUGAGAGGGUGUACGGCCACAUUGGGACUGAGACACGGCCCAGACUCCUACGGGAGGCAGCAGUGGGGAAUAUUGCACAAUGGGCGCAAGCCUGAUGCAGCGACGCCGCGUGGGGGAUGACGGCCUUCGGGUUGUAAACUCCUUUCGCUAGGGACGAAGCCACUUGUGGUGACGGUACCUGGAGAAGAAGCACCGGCUAACUACGUGCCAGCAGCCGCGGUAAUACGUAGGGUGCGAGCGUUGUCCGGAAUUACUGGGCGUAAAGAGCUCGUAGGUGGUUUGUCGCGUCGUCUGUGAAAUCCCGGGGCUUAACUUCGGGCGUGCAGGCGAUACGGGCAUAACUUGAGUGCUGUAGGGGAGACUGGAAUUCCUGGUGUAGCGGUGAAAUGCGCAGAUAUCAGGAGGAACACCAAUGGCGAAGGCAGGUCUCUGGGCAGUAAC
rnacentral:rRNA from 1 species